AUUCCGCGUGAGUGAAGAAGGCCUUCGGGUUGUAAAGCUCUUUCGCAAGGGAAGAAACAAACAGUCUAAUAAACUGUGUUAAUGACGGUACCUUGAUAAGAAGCACCGGCUAACUACGCGCCAGCAGCCGCGGUAAUACGUAGGGUGCGAGCGUUAAUCGGAAUUACUGGGCGUAAAGCGUGCGCAGGCGGUUUAGAAAGUCAGAUGUGGAAUCCCCGGGCUCAACCUGGGAACUGCGUUUGAAACUCCAAAGCUAGAGUAUGGGAGAGGGGGGUAGAAUUCCACGUGUAGCAGUGAAAUGCGUAGAGAUGUGGAGGAAUACCAAUGGCGAAGGCAGACCCCUGGCUUAAUACUGACGCUCAUGCACGAAAGCGUGGGGAGCAAACAGGAUUAGAUACCCUGGUAGUCCAGCGCUAAACGAUGUCUACUAAUUGUUGGGAGAGUAAAAUCUCUUAGUAACGCAGGU
rnacentral:rRNA from 1 species